rnacentral:lncRNA from 1 species
UAGCAACAACAUAAUGGAGGCAGUCAAUCAAUAUAGAUUGAUCCGAAAUCUGAUUCAAAUCCAAUUCCAAUAUAGUCCCUAUGGGUACAUAAGAAAUGUAUUGAAUCGAUUCUUUUUAAUGAAGAGACCUGAUCGCAACUUCGAAUAUGGAAUUCAAAGGGAUCUAAUAGGAAAUGAUACUCUGAAUCAUAGAACUAUAAUGAAAGAUACGAUCAACCAACAUUUAUCGAAUUUGAAAAAGAGUCAGAAGAAAUGGUUCGAUCCUCUUAUUUUUCUUUCUCGAACCGAGAGAUCCAUAAAUCGGGAUCCUAAUGCAUAUAGAUACAAAUGGUCCAAUGGGAGCAAGAAUUUCCAGGAGCAUUUGAAACAUUUCGUUUCUGAGCGGAAGAGCCGUUUUCAAGUAGUGUUCGAUCGAUUAUGUAUUAAUCAAUAUUCGAUUGAUUGGUCUGAGGUUAUUGAUAAAAAAGAUUUGUCUAAGUCACUUCGUUUCUUUUUGUCCAAGUUACUUCGUUUUUUGUCCAAGUUACUUCUCUUUUUGUCUAAUUCACUUCCUUUUUUCUUUGUGAGUUUCGAGAAUAUCCCCAUUCAUAGGUCUGAGAUCCACAUCUAUGAAUUGAAAGGUCCGAACGAUCAACCCUGCAAUCAGUUGUUAGAAUCAAUAGGUCUUCAAAUCGUUCAUUUUAAAAAAUUGAAACCCUUUUUAUUGGAUGAUCAUAAUACUUCUCAAAAAUCGAAAUUCUUGAUCAAUGGAGGAACAAUAUCACCAUUUUUGUUCAAUAAGAUACCAAAGUGGAUGAUUGACUCAUUCCAUACUAGAAAGAAUCGCAGGAAAUCUUUUGAUAACACGGAUUCCUAUUUCUCAAUCGUAUCCCACGAUCAAGACAAUUGGCUGAAUCCCGUGAAACCAUUUCAGAGAAGUUCAUUGAUAUCUUCUUUUUCUAAAGCAAAUCGACUUCGAUUCUUGAAUAAUCCACAUCACUUCUGCUUCUAUUGUAACAAAAGAUUCCCUUUUUAUGUGGAAAAGGCCCGUCUCAAUAAUUCUGAUUUUACGUAUGGACAAUUCCUCACUAUCUUGUUCAUUCACAACAAAAUAUUUUCUUCGUGUGGUGGUAAAAAAAAACAUGCUUUUUUGGAGAGAGAUACUAUUUCACCUUCGUCAAUCGAGUCACAGGUAUCUAACAUAUUCAUAUCUAACGAUUUUCCACAAAGUGGUGACGAAAGGUAUAACUUGUACAAAUCUUUCCAUUUUCCAAUUCGAUCCGAUCCAUUAGUUCGUAGAGCUAUUUACUCGAUUGCAGACAUUUCUGGAACACCUCUAAUAGAGGGACAAAGAGUAAAUUUGGAAAGAACGUAUUGUCAAACUCUUUCAGAUAUGAAUCUAUCCGAUUCAGAAGAGAAGAGCUUGCAUCAGUAUCUCAAUUUCAAUUCAAACGUGGGUUUGAUUCACACUCCAUGUUCUGAGAAAUAUUUACAGAGGAAAAAACGGAGUCUUUGCCUAAAAAAAUGCGUUGACAAAGGGCAGAUGGAUAGAACCUUUCAACGAGAUAGUGCUUUUUCAACUCUCUCAAAAUGGAAUCUAUUCCAAACAUAUAUGCCAUGGUUCUUUACUUCGACAGGGUACAAAUAUCUAAAUUUGAUAUUUUUAGAUAUUUUUUCAGACCUAUUGCGGAUACUAAGUAGCAGUCAAAAAUUUGUAUCCAUUUUUCAUGAUAUUAUGUAUGGAUUAGAUAUAUCAUGGCGAAUUCUUCAGAAAAAAUUGUGUCUUCCACAAAGGAAUCUGAUAAGUGAGAUUUCGAGUAAGUCUUUACAUAAUCUUCUUCUGUCCGAAGAAAUGAUUCAUCGAAAUAAUGAGUCAUCGUUGAUAUCGACACAUCUGAGAUCGCCAAAUGUUCGUGAGGUCCUCUAUUCAAUCCUUUUCCUUCUUCUUGUUGCUGGAUAUAUCGUUCGUACACAUCUUCUCUUUGUUUCCCGAGCCUAUAGUGAGUUACAGACAGAGUUCGAAAAGAUCAAAUCUUUGAUGAUUCCAUCAUACAUGAUUGAGUUGCGAAAACUUCUGGAUAGGUAUCCUACAUCUGAACAGAAUUCUUUCUGGUUAAAGAAUCUUUUUCUAGUUGCUCUGGAACAAUUAGGAGAUUGUCUAGAAGAAAUACGGGGUUCUGGCGGCAACAUGCUAUGGGGUGGUGAUCCCGCUUAUGGGGUCAAAUCAAUACGUUCUAAGAAGACAGAUUUGAAAAUAAACUUCAUCGAUAUCAUCGAUCUCAUAAGUAUCAUACCAAAUCCCAUCAAUCGAAUCACUUUUUCGAGAAAUACGAGACAUCUAAGUCAUACAAGUAAAGACAUCUAUUCAUUGAUAAGAAAAAGAAAAAACGUGAGCGGUGAUUGGAUUGAUGAUAAAAUAGAAUCCUGGGUCGCGAACAGUGAUUCGAUUGAUGAUAAAGAAAGAGAAUUCUUGGUUCAGUUCUCCACCUUAAGGGCAGAAAAAAGGAUUGAUCAAAUUCUAUUGAGUCUGACUCAUAGUGAUCAUUUAUCAAAGAAUGACUCUGGUUAUCAAAUGAUUGAACAACCGGGAACAAUUUACUUACGAUACUUAGUUGACAUUCAUAAAAAGUAUCUAAUGAAUUAUGAGUUCAAUACAUCCUGUUUAGCAGAAAGACGGAUAUUCCUUGCUCAUUAUCAGACAAUCACUUAUUCACAAACUUCGUGUGGGGCUAAUAGUUUUCAUUUCCCGUCUCAUGGAAAACCCUUUUCGCUCCGCUUAGCCCUAUCCCCCUCUAGGAGUAUUUUAGUGAUAGGUUCUAUAGGAACCGGACGAUCCUAUUUGGUCAAAUACCUAGCGACAAACUCCUAUGUUCCUUUCAUUACAGUAUGUCUGAACAAGUUCCUGGAUAACAAGCCGAAAGGUUUUUUUCUUGAUGAUAUCGAUAUUGAUGAUAGUGACGAUAUUGAUGCUAGUAACGAUAUUGAUCGUGAACUUGAUACGGAGCUGGAGCUUCUAACUAUGAUGAAUGCGCUAACUAUGGAUAUGAUGUCGGAAAUAGACCGAUUUUAUAUCACCCUUCAAUUCGAAUUAGCAAAAGCAAUGUCUCCUUGCAUAAUAUGGAUUCCAAACAUUCAUGAUCUUGAUGUGAAUGAGUCGAAUUACUUAGCCCUCGGUCUCUUGGUGAACUCUCUCUCCAGGGAUUGUGAAAGAUGUUCGACUAGAAAUAGUCUUGUUAUUGCUUCGACUCAUAUUCCCCAAAAAGUGGAUCCCGCUCUAAUAGCCCCGAAUAAAUUAAAUACAUGCAUUAAAAUAAGAAGGCUUCUUAUUCCACAACAACGAAAGCACUUUUUCACUCUUUCCUAUACUAGGGGAUUUCACUUGGAAAAGAAAAUGUUCCAUACUAAUGGAUUCGAGUCCAUAACCAUGGGUUCCAGUGCACGAGAUCUUGUAGCACUUACCAAUGAGGCCUUAUCAAUUAGUAUUACACAGAAGAAAUCAAUUAUAGACACUAAUACAAUUAGAUCUGCUCUUCAUAGACAAACUUGGGAUUUGCGAUCCCAGGUAAGAUCGGUUCAGGAUCAUGGGAUCCUUUUCUAUCAGAUAGGAAGGGUUGUUGCACAAAAUGUACUUAUAAGUAAUUGCCCCAUAGAUCCUAUAUCUAUCUAUAUGAAGAAGAAAUCAUGUAACGAAGGGGAUUCUUAUUUGUACAAAUGGUACUUCGAACUUGGAACGAGCAUGAAGAAAUUCACGAUACUUCUUUAUCUUUUGAGUUGUUCUGCCGGAUCGGUCGCUCAAGACCUUUGGUCUCUACCCGGACCCGAUGAAAAAAAUAGGAUCACUUCUUAUGGAUUCAUUGAGAAUGAUUCGGAUCUAUUUCAUGGCCUAUUAGAAGUGCAAGGCGCUUUGGUGGGAUCCUCACGGACAGAAAAAGAUUGCAGUCAGUUUGAUAAUGAUCGAGUGACAUUGCUUUUUCGCUCCGAACCAAGGGAUCCCUUAUAUAUGAUGCAAGAUGGAUCUUGUUCUAUCGUUGAUCAGAGAUUUCUCUAUGAAAAAUACGAAUCGGAGUUUGAAGAAGGGGAAGGAGAAGCAGUCCUCGACCCGGAACAGAUAGAGGAGGAUUUAUUCAAUCACAUAGUUUGGGCUCCUAGAAUAUGGCGCCCUCGGGGCUUUCUAUUUGAUUGUAUCGAAAGGCCUAAUGAAUUGGGAUUUCCCUAUUUGGCCGGGUCAUUUCGGGGCAAGCGGAUCAUUUAUGAUGAAAAGUAUGAGCUUCAAGAGAAUGAUUCGGAGUUCUUGCAGAGCGGAACCAUGCAGUACCAGAGACGAGAUAGGUCUUCCAAAGAACAAGGCUUUUUUAGAAUAAGCCAAUUCAUUUGGGACCCCGCAGAUCCACUCUUUUUCCUAUUCAAAGAUCAGCCCUUUGUCUCUGUGUUUUCACAUCGAGAAUUCUUUGCAGAUGAAGAGAUGUCAAAGGGGCUUCUUACUUCCCAAACAGAUCCUCCUACAUCUAUAUAUAAACGCUGGUUUAUCAAGAAUACGCAAGAAAAGCACUUCGAAUUGUUGAUUCAGCGCCAGAGAUGGCUUAGAACCAAUAGUUCAUUAUCUAAUGGAUUUUUCCGUUCUAAUACUCUAUCCGAGAGUUAUCAGUAUUUAUCAAAUCUGUUCCUAUCUAACGGAACGCUAGUGGAUCGAAUGACAAAGACAUUGUUGAAAAAAAGAUGGCUUUUUCCGGAUGAAAUGAAAAUAGGAUUCAUGUAAUGUAACAGGAGAAAGGUUUCCCAUUACUUAGCCGGAAAGAUAUGUGUCCAUGAAAUAGGGAUUAAGUGGAACGGAAUUGACUGGGUGGUAGAGUUGUAGAAACACCUGUUUCUUCCACUUAGCUCCAUGGAACAAUAUGCUACGACGGAAACAUGGAAGAAUUGAAAUCUUAGAUCAAAACACUAUGUAUGGAUGGUACGAACUGCCUAAACAAGAAUUCUUGAACAGCGAACAACCAGAGCUAUUACUCACUACAUCAAAAAAA